rnacentral:rRNA from 1 species
GGUAUUAUUUGUACCCAUAUNNCCGCCAGGGAAUUACAAGCACAAGUUUAAAACCCAAAGGACUUGGCGGUGCUUUAUAACCAUCUAGAGGAGCCUGUUCUAAAACCGAUAACCCCCGUUAAACCUCACCUUCUCUUGCCUUUUCCGCCUAUAUACCGCCGUCGCCAGCUUACCCUUUAAAGGAUAUAAAGUGAGCAAAAAUAUUAUAACUCAAAANGUCANGUCGAGGUGUAUUUUAUGGGGAAGGAAGAAAUGGGCUACNUUUGUCAUAUAGACAUAUAACGAAUAAUCAAAUGAAAUAAUGAUUUGAAGGAGGAUUUAGCAGUAAGAAGAAAAUAUANUGUUC